AUAAUGAUACUUCCGUAAUUCGCGGCCCGGCCAUAAAGAAGGCGGGGAGGUUAAAGUCCUAUGA
ncrna:unclassified sequences pemK RNA